UUCGUUUCACAUUUACUCUUUCACUCGUGCGGUCGUGCCGAACAGACGAACGGCGGGGCCGCCACCGCCGGCGGCGGCUCUCCAUGCCAUCUAGCCGUCCCGUGCCUCGCGGUUUGGUCUCUGGCUCUCUGCCUUGAUCCGCCAGUUUGAACGCACCCUGGAUCGCGGCCAACGAUGCCACCGCGCCCUGUCUCUUCCCUGAUCCGUUUUUGUCGGCAGCGGAGGCGCAUUUUCGUGUGGACGAGUGCAGGCAGAGUCCAUGGUCUGGGAGAGAACCCUGAGAAGAACAAGGCCGGCAAAGGUAACCCGUUCCCCGUCCAGUGGGGGAUCUAGGAUUGUACCACAGGAUUGAUGAGGAGUGCUCCACUGAUGGAGCACACUGAACAACAUCGGUUCUCCUGUUCUACAGAUUAAUACAAGGAGCACUCCAUUGAUGGAGCACACGGAACACAAGGUUGGAGAUAUUAUCAUGUUUGUUAGGUGAUGGUAGAUUGGCAGAGUUAUGCCUGCAAACGGUACCUGAUAUUUGAGAGACGACUGCUUGGUUGUGUACCCAAUUUGGUGCGGACUGUUCCAAAAUUACUCAGUUGUAAAUUGUAACAUUACAAUUCCACUGGUUUUGUAACCAUGUAAACUACAGUAUGCACUGUUUUCUGAUUUGGACAUGUCAAUUCCAUUGUGUU